ACUGGAAUUCAGUUCACUCGUAUCAUUCGUAUUCGCGUGAGUUUCGUGCUCGAUUACCAUUCGAUUUACACUUGCAAACCGCUGUAAUCACUUGCAACAAACCGAUUUUUUGACUAUCGUCGGCACUACUGGCGCAAUGAUAAACAAUCAAACAGUUUUAUCGCCGCCGUGGUGCAGUGCGCGUUAAUUAAUCACUAACAACAUGUUGACCUGGUCCUAGUUGGGCGAGAAUCGCAGCGAUGAACGGUGUUACUCCCCAUGAAACAACUGUUAUCGAUAGAAAGCCUAUCAUUACCUGUGCUGGGGAAUUGGAGGUGUUUGCUGGCAUUGAAGAUGCGCUCACUGCGGCUUUACCAGAGGACACCUGUGAAUUUCGGAGGUCUUUAGGAAGAAGUAUUCGGGAUGUCCAUAUUGGUGCUAAUUUUGCACCAUUUAGUCCUAAAGGUUUGCCUAAGAACACUCAAUGGGAUCUUAUAAGACAACCACUUUUUCAUAUUUAUUGGACUGAAUGCAGUGAUGUUGAUUUAUACAAAGUUAAUGUAAAAGAAGACAUUGAUGACUGGCUAAAAGAGUUAACCAACAAAGACAUUCCUGAUUGGUUGAUAGUUGUAGUAGAAAAUUUCGAUGGCAAGAGGGCAAAUAAACUCCUACCAAGAACAACAGUCCUAGACAAAAUACGAAGUGAUUUUGCGACCAAACAUGGCGAUCGAUGUAUUUCAGUCAUAAAUCCCGGAAAAGUCGAGGUGCGCACAGCGGAUUCAUGGCGUGGAUUGGUCGUGCGAAUUCGUCAGUUGGUGUUAAUCAGUUAUGCGAAGGCAAUUGCGAAAUUGGAAGAUCAUGUACGGCAGCAAAGAGAAAAACGCAACGAGCACGGAUGGCAGUUUAUGGAAUAUUUUAAACUCCAAGAGGAAUUGGCGCAGGUUUUGGAAAUGUUAGGCUUGUAUGAUGAGGCAUUAGUGCAAUACGAUGAAUUGGACGCGCUUUUUUCGCAAUUUGUUGUCAAUGGACCAGUUGGGGAGAAUGUUAAUUGGUUGAAGGACUUCCAGAUGCCGCUGCAGCGUUGGCAUUCGUUGAAAUUAGGUCCGUGUGUUCUUCCUGAUGAUCCUUCACUGCUGGAGUUGAGGGCUUACCUCUAUGCGAAACAAGCGCAUAUGUUAUUAUUGGGGAAUAAAAUUUGGGAGGUUGCGUCAAGAUGUCUGCCAUUUUUACACUCCUGCACACGGGAACUUGUAAUUUUAGAAAUAACGGCACCGCAGGGUGCAGUUGCCUGUUGGUUAUUCCUCGCCUGUAUGGAAGUGUUGCACGCUUGCGAGAAACACAACCAGGCCGAGCAAAUCGAGGCGUAUUCCACGCACACUGCCAGUUUGUGGGCGUACGCAAGUCAAAAAUUACGGUUUCUUGGCGAGCUGUGCGGUUUAAUGCCGGGCGAUUCACCGUCAUCGGAUCAACUUCACAUGGUGGUUUAUCUCUCUGCAGGAAUGGGUGAUAAUCCGGGACGGCCUGCUUGUCCAUCACCAACUGACAAACUAAAGCAGGCGUUGUGUUCACAAAAUUCAUUCAACAAGACGUACCUUGAACUAGCCGAACUUGCGAUGGGGACGUACAAGCAUAUCGGAAGAAGAAGAUUAGCGCGUAUCAUUGGAAAAGAAGUCGCUUCAUUUUAUCUGUUACUUGGUGAAUUACAAAAAUCUGCUGCAUUUUUGAAUGAUGCGCUCAAACAAUUCGAGGAGGAUAACUGGCGAGAAUUGGCAGCGCAAACACAAAUCGAGCUGGCCGAAUGCUACAAGAAAUGCAACGAUAUACGUAAAUUCGUGCGCGCAUGCGCCGCGACCGCUGCCGCCCCCGAAAUGGACAACCUGAUCCGCUGGUCGUACCAUGACGAAAUGAUUAAAGCGUUAAACGGCUCACAAAUCGACCGUACGCUGAUAGUGCCUUUCAAAGAAAUGAUCAAAAUCGUCAGUGUGUGCGUCCAGACGGGGCUCGUCGACGAACCAGUCAUGCAGGACAAUGAAAUCGUCAUUGAACUUACCUUAUUCUCGAAUUUUCCCAAAGAAUUACUAUGCGAUAGUGUGAAAAUUUCAAUCGAAACAGAAUUCCAUGAUAAAAAGGAGAAGAAAGGUCGAAGAUCGAGUAAUGUUUUAACAAGUAAAGACCUCAAACAGCAGGAUACCUCACUGCAGCGACUGAAUAUCCAACGCCAUCUUGAUUAUCAACAGGAUAAAACCCUGUCAAGUGCUAGUGUUGUUUGUGGUAAAACACCGUUGAAACGUGCUGAUAGUACUGCUGCGCCGAUUUAUCACAGCGAGUUUAAUGACUAUUUAGAGAUUGCUAAGACUAAACUUUCACCUGGUUUGAACAUCAUGCGACUGAGGAAAACUGCCGAUAAAGUAGGAAAGUAUUACUUGGGUCAAGUCGCGAUACAUGUUAAACUUAUGGAGUUAAUUUCAAUAUCUUUAACUCCAAAGUUAUUCUUUGAGGUGUGUAGAGUUGAACCGACUGUUAAGCUCGAAGAUCAAAGCGCAUUGUUGUCGGGAAUUGAACAAACGAUGCAGUUGAUUGUGACGAUUGGUAGUUAUAAAGUAGCGGAGAACUGCACCAUCAAGAUGGCCGCUUCGUUAGGUUUGACACUACAAUACGGUGGCGAUGAGAAUGAGUUUGUUACCUCGAUAGAAGUACCACUGACGCACAGUGAACCGUUUACGACAAGUUCGACUGCGAUUCGUGUGUUGGCAGACACGCCGUCGAAGGAACAUCAAGUAACAAUUUCGUGUCCAUGGUCGACGAGAGCCAUUCCGCUUGUGUUUGAUUUCUCAUCGCCUAUGAGCGCCACCUGGCGGUUGUUUACCGUUCAGCAUAGGAAGUUUAUUCAGAUUACGCUGACGAGUCAGUGUGAGAGGGCUUUCACGGUCGUCGGGGAUGAACUUUUGUUUAAUAAUAAUGUUAAUGUGACGGGAUUUAAUGAUUUUUCUAGUCAAGAGGUAACAAAUGGCCUGAGUUUAGUGUUCACAUACGAAAUGCUCCACUCGGGGAAUUUAACAAACGAAGAGUUCGACGCGACGAGAGGUAUCUUCAACUUGCGCUACAAACUUUCCGGAGGUGGUGAUGAAAAGACGCGCCUCUACAGUUACAAUUUCAAACUAACCAACUAUCAGCUUUUGCUGCUUUCUUACGCGGUGGUUGAUUUAAAUGUGGAUUAUGAUGUUUUCAGACGUUGUUUCAAGUGCACGCGCGCGUCGAGCCGACGAAGGGUAGUGAGUUUUGUCGCGUCGGCGCUGUGUGCCAUCUGCAGCUGCAAGUACGGCCGGCAGGUCGUCAGCUGCAGGCGAACUGUGGUUCGCUCAUGUACGAAGUGCUCGCCGAGCAAAGCAUGUGGGCGGUAUGCGGCCGGACCGCGGGUGUUAUCUCGUUCGACGCAGACAGCGAUGCGCAGACUGUCGUCCUAGACGUCAUGCCGCUCAACAGUGGGUAUCUGCCGCUGCCUCUCAUCAGACUAUCGAAGUACAUUCCUGCUGAUUUUGGUAAUACAGAUAAAUCAGAUCAACAUCCAAGAUUAAUCCGCUUCAACGCCGGGCAAGUAUACAACGCGAGUAAAGGCCAGCAGGUGCACGUGAUAAGCGCAGGCGUCGACGGAUGAACGACGCAUCGCCAUCUUGAACCGAGUCGCGCACCAUUUCUCCCCCUUUGAAAACAAUGUGAUUUUAUUUUGUGCCAAUUAAUGAUUUGCUCGCAACUCGCAUCACAAGCCGACGCUCCGCACGACACGAUCAACUCGAUCGCUAAACGUUUUAGUUUUAAGUUACAACUGUUACGCCCACUUCGGUCGCCCCGAAACGCGCGAUUGGAUUGGUCGAAUGGGAGAGGGGAACACAAAACGGUGACUGGACGCAGGACGUAGGAAACAAAUACUCAUACAAUAUCAACAGGUGAAGUAAGAACCGAAACUGAUCGAUGUAAAUAGCGCCCUUCUAUAAAAUAGAUCAAUAGGUGUGCCUACACGAAACUGUAUCGCAUUACAAAUAGAAUUAUAAAUAUUUUAUAUCUAAAAAAUGUUUUAGUCUAAAAACUCUAGUGUUAAGUCCAUGCGUGUUGGCACUCAACUGCGGUUAUCACAAGUCCCACGAGUAGUCUCACAUGUUUCACACUUCGAUUAGUUCCUCCUCUUCGCCGGUGGCGUCCAAUCAGAGAUCAGUCUUUGGACCAAGCGAUAAAGGAAUAGCCUGUAGUUCAGUACGCAGGCAGAGAAACUCACCGCAAACACACAUUAAGGCGCCGCAGGCUACAUUCAAAGCCCACCAAGAGAAUGUCGUCGGGAAGGAGCCGUUGUACAUCCAGCAGGCGAAUAAAUGGACGAAGUGCCACGUCCAGCUGAAGUCCAGGCAUAGUUUGGUUCGCUCCACGAUCUUCCACAGCGCCAGCGAUCCGAUGAGGGCGUUUAUUACGAAGGAAGCUAUGAUUAUCUUACCGCCAAAGUCUCUUACGUGAAUUUCCUGUCAAAUUUCAUCAAAAUUAAUCCAACAUAACCUUAAAACUUAACCAAACUUGACAAAACAACUAAAUUCAUGCAUUACAGCAGUUUUCUUUUAGUAUUAUACUAAUUUAAUGCAUGAGUUUUGAGUUUUUAAGGAUAGUAUGCUUGAAACUUACAUGAUAUUCAAAUAUGUGAUCUAAUGAUCUAGUUUCACCAACCAUUCCACCAAGGACAGUCAGCAAAACACCUAAAGUAGUGUAGAGUAUCAUCUGUAUUGAUAAGAUCUGUCCAAUGAUGAGCCAUGGGUCCCAUUGAUGAUAUCUAAAGGAUCCAGUAAGUUUUUUCAUUCUCUUGUAGUAUUUCUUUCGAUUAUGUAGUUUUAUACACUUUUUACUCCUUAAA